rnacentral:rRNA from 1 species
GUGGGGAAUAUUGGACAAUGGGGGGAACCCUGAUCCAGCCAUGCCGCGUGUGUGAAGAAGGCCUUUUGGUUGUAAAGCACUUUAAGCGAGGAGGAGGCUACCGAGAUUAAUACUCUUGGAUAGUGGACGUUACUCGCAGAAUAAGCACCGGCUAACUCUGUGCCAGCAGCCGCGGUAAUACAGAGGGUGCGAGCGUUAAUCGGAUUUACUGGGCGUAAAGCGCGCGUAGGUGGUUAAUUAAGUCAAAUGUGAAAUCCCCGAGCUUAACUUGGGAAUUGCAUUCGAUACUGGUUAGCUAGAGUAUGGGAGAGGAUGGUAGAAUUCCAGGUGUAGCGGUGAAAUGCGUAGAGAUCUGGAGGAAUACCGAUGGCGAAGGCAGCCAUCUGGCCUAAUACUGACACUGAGGUGCGAAAGCAUGGGGAGCAAACAGGAUUAGAUACCCCGGUAGUCC